UCACUUUUAUUCUUCAACUAAUUUGUUCUUUUGUUCGAAAUGGCAGUGGGAGGAGAUGCCGCAAACUUGUUUCACAAAGUUUGAUGGAAAAUUGGUUUUAUGCCUUUACUAGAGUGGGUGGAAUUGGAAAGAUGGAUGACUGGUAUUUCAGAUUGAGCUCUGGCUAUCAUUCUUCUUCGCCAAGACUUAAGGACUCUCCAACCAGAAACGUACUCUCUUGGGACAACGACAAGGAAAAGAUGAAAGGCAUUAUGCACCAUUAGAAGUUCGGUGGUAGAAAUAGUUAUUGGAGAAGUUAGGUUAUGAGUGCAUUCUUUUAUUUAUGCAUUGGCAACCGCAAAGGAAUGAGUUGUUUGCUCAGCUCCAUGACCAAUCUUCAAGGAGAUAAUUGUAUCAUGUUGACGUGUUUAGCGGCGGGAGACUUCAUCAUGAUCGCCACCCACGAUCACCACCCAUGCAUUUGUCGCCACCUUGUCUUAUUUAUCAUUUGGGCCGACUUAAUUAAGGGACGCAUCCCUCUACAUGGUAUGGUCGCCUCUCUCUAUGUCGUCCCUCUUGUGAAAAGGGACGACCCUUGAUAAGAGUCACUACUAGCAUAUAUAUAUGAAGAUCGAAGACUUCAUUAAGAUACGACCCUUAUAAGAGUCACUACUAGCAUAUAUAUGAAGAUCGAAGACUUCAUUAAGAUAAUAAUUCACAAAGCACAGUUUGCCUCAUUUAUUUCAUACUUCAACAGUUAAGAUUUUCAUAUAGCAGUUCGACAAUUAUAUCAAGGAGAUCGAUUUAUAUUGGUACAAUUAAUUUGGCCCUGUGAGUGGCCUCAUAAUUGGCUUUGUGUUAGUCAUAUUGUAAUUGAUUUAUUUCAUCAUAUAAAAGAUAUUAUUGUUGGGUU